GACUCAGUGGUGUAAUCGGCAACACUCCAGCCAAACCUAGUGAUGGUUUGAAGAUUAGGCUGGUGAUCCCCGUUCGACUCGGGGCUGGGUCA